rnacentral:rRNA from 1 species
UACGAAGGGGGCUAGCGUUGUUCGGAAUUACUGGGCGUAAAGCGCGUGUAGGCGGUUGUUUAAGUCAGGGGUGAAAGCCUUGAGCUCAACUCAAGAAAUGCACUUGAUACUGGAUGACUAGGGGACCGGAGAGGAUAGUGGAAUUCCCAGUGUAGUGGUGAAAUACGUAGAGAUUGGGAAGAACACCAGUGGCGAAGGCGGCUAUCUGGACCGGCAUUGACGCUGAGGAGCGAAAGCCAGGGGAGCAAACGGG